GACGAACGCUGGCGGCGUGCCUAACACAUGCAAGUCGAACGCUCCAGCAAUGGAGAGUGGCAGACGGGUGAGUAACGCGUGGGAACCUUCCCAGUGGUACGGAAUAGCCCAGGGAAACUUGGGGUAAUACCGUAUACGCCCCUAGGGGGAAAGAUUUAUCGCCAUUGGAUGGGCCCGCGUCGGAUUAGCUUGUUGGUGAGGUAAAAGCUCACCAAGGCGACGAUCCGUAGCUGGUCUGAGAGGAUGAUCAGCCACACUGGGACUGAGACACGGCCCAGACUCCUACGGGAGGCAGCAGUGGGGAAUAUUGGACAAUGGGCGCAAGCCUGAUCCAGCCAUGCCGCGUGAGUGACGAAGGCCCUAGGGUUGUAAAGCUCUUUUGGCGGGGACGAUAAUGACGGUACCCGCAGAAUAAGCUCCGGCUAACUUCGUG
rnacentral:rRNA from 1 species